AACGAACGCUGGCGGCGUGGAUUAGGCAUGCAAGUCGAACGCGAAAGAGGGAGCAAUCCCUCGAGUAGAGUGGCGAACGGGUGAGUAACGCGUGAAGAACCUGCCUUCAACAGGGGGAUAACACUCCCAACGGGGUGGCUAAUACCGCAUGAGACCACGGGGUCGCAUGGCCCUGAGGUCAAAGGUGGCCUCUAUUUAUAAGCUACCGGUUGAAGAUGGCUUCGCGUCCCAUUAGCAGUUGGCGGUGUAAAAGACCACCAAGGCGACGAUGGGUAGCUGGUCUGAGAGGAUGGUCAGCCACACUGGGACUGAGAUACGGGCCCAGACUCCUACGGGGAGGCAGCAGUCGAGAGGCUUUGGCAAUGGGGGAAACCCUNACCAAGCGACGCCGCGUGGAGGAUGAAGGCCUU
rnacentral:rRNA from 1 species